rnacentral:rRNA from 1 species
AACGAACGCUGGCGGCAUGCCUAACACAUGCAAGUCGAACGAGACCUUCGGGUCUAGUGGCGCACGGGUGCGUAACGCGUGGGAACCUGCCCUUAGGUUCGGAAUAACUCCCCGAAAGGGGUGCUAAUACCGGAUAAUGUCUUCGGACCAAAGAUUUAUCGCCUUUGGAUGGGCCCGCGUUGGAUUAGCUAGUUGGUAGGGUAAAAGCCUACCAAGGCGACGAUCCAUAGCUGGUCUGAGAGGAUGAUCAGCCACACUGGGACUGAGACACGGCCCAGACUCCUACGGGAGGGAGCAGUGGGGAAUAUUGGACAAUGGGCGAAAGGCUGAUCCAGCAAUGCCGCGUGAGUGAUGAAGGCCUUAGGGUUGUAAAGCUCUUUUACCCGGGAUGAUAAUGACAGUACCGGGAGAAUAAGCUCCGGCUAACUCCGUG